UACGGGGGGGGGCAAGCGUUGUUCGGAAUUACUGGGCGUAAAGGGCUCGUAGGCGGCCAACUAAGUCAGACGUGAAAUCCCUCGGCUUAACCGGGGGAACUGCGUCUGAUACUGGAUGGCUUGAAUCCGGGAGAGGGAUGCGGAAUUCCAGGUGUAGCGGUGAAAUGCGUAGAUAUCUGGAGGAACACCGGUGGCGAAGGCGGCAUCCUGGACCGGCAUUGACGCUGAGGAGCGAAAGCCAGGGGAGCAAAGCGGG
rnacentral:rRNA from 1 species